GUCAGUGUGGCCGAGUGGUUAAGGCGUGUGACUUGAAUUUGCCGCGCUUGAGAGCCUCUCUGGGGAGCGUACUCUUCCCAGAGGGUUGCCUCCGGGCGACGGCCUUAUGAGAUCACAUCUCUUCGGAGGCAUAGGUUCGAACCCUAUCGCUGACG
rnacentral:tRNA from 1 species